GAAUUCCAUACUUCUUGUUAUAUUUAUAACCAUAAAUUUUAUUUCCGCAUCUGAAUCGAGGUUCUCAAACGGGAGACGACACCGACGUGAUGCUGUAGGUGCCCUGGAUAUUGUCACAAACAAUGUCCAACCCAUUCACGCUGACGUUAAAAGUGACCAGGCGCUUUCAGAACAGGUAUUCAGAACUGUUACGACAUACAGGGAUCUUCAAGAGAAAAGCGUGCCACCUUAAAUGGCAACGCACAGAUGUUGCAGAUGCAACACCAGGUUUGCAAGCGGCAACACAUGGGCAGCGGUAAGCACUUACCUUAACUGCUGCCGUUUGCCUCUUGUUACAUAAAACCAUAAUAUAAUAAUAAAAAGUCCUUUACUCUCUGACCUUUUUAACUUACAUGGUAUUAUAAUAAAAUAGUCCUAAUAUUAAAUCUAAUGCACGUAGCAAAAUAAUAAAUUUAUGAGGAAAUUUAUCCUAAAAUUUAAUUAUCCAAAAAAAUAUGAUAAUAAUGAUACGGUAAAUGUAUGCAUAUGCAUACCUUUGGUCCGAAAAUGGACUUGUAUUAGGCACAGAAUCCUGAUCAGUAACAGUCUUUUAAAUCAAACAGAUAUUUGUGGCUUAGAUUAUUACAAUAAUAAUAAAAUGUACAAACGCUCUAUUAUAAAGAACGAGCCCGUUCUAGCUCUAGGAAAUAUUUGCGACUAUCAAACGCAGGAACAUGGUACUGAGAGCCAUGUUU